CACCUCUCAGGGUCGCAUCUGGAGGGUUUCCAGUCCUCUACCAGUCUCGACUAUGAGAGGGAGAGACAAGUGGAGGCCUACCUAUUCCAUUCCUAGCUUGGCCAGUUGCUAGUGAGUGGCAGGCAAUCUGCUACAAGU